rnacentral:lncRNA from 1 species
UGAGAACAUCUUGUUGGUUCUUAGUUAUUAAAGUAUUUGAUCACAUUUUAGAAAUUCUGAUAACUUUGGGCAAGCUGACAGGACAUAGUUUGAGAUGGCGAUAGAACAUAUUGUGAAUUACAGCCUUGGAUACAGAAUAGCAUUGGAACUGAUUUAAUCGAUAAAUUGUUCUGACCCAUUCAGGGCAUUUUGGGGACAGACUCUACAGUUUACUAGUGGCCCCAGGACAUCCUGCAAAAGAGGUGAAAUCAGUAUUGGAGAAGUGGUCUCAUGAAGAUGGGAGCACGACUACUACAAUUGACUGCUGACUUCUCACCCAAGGAAGUAACUGUAUCCCAGCCUAAUCUCAGUGGAUAAGCCCACAGGGUUAAGGAGUAAUCAUCAUGCUCCAUUUCGUUUUUGAGCCAUCUUCAGCCUUUGAGUCCUUAAGCUUUUUGGAGACAGUUUGUGGAGAAGGUCCUCACAACAUUGUGCAACAAGUGUGAAAGAUGUAGUCUCCAUUUACGGCUACUGAAAUAGGCUGAGAGAGGGUGAAGAAACUGAGGCUUGGAGGGUCCGAAUAACUUGCCCAAUAUCACAGAAAAGAUGUUCAAGAAAAAGAACAACUUCAGUGGAAGAAGAAGAAGAUAGGAGCCCA